GCGGGAAUGGUGGAACGGUAGACACACUUGAUUUAGGAUCAAGGCACUGAGGGUUCGAAUCCCUCUUCCCGUA
rnacentral:tRNA from 1 species